AAAACUUUCAACAACGGAUCUCUUGGCUCUGGCAUCGAUGAAGAACGCAGCGAAAUGCGAUAAGUAAUGUGAAUUGCAGAAUUCAGUGAAUCAUCGAAUCUUUGAACGCACAUUGCGCCCGCCGGCACUCCGGCGGGCAUGCCUGUCCGGGCGUCAUUUCAACCCUCAGGACCCCCUUCCGGGGGGGACCUGGUGCUGGGGACCAGCGGCCUCCGGGCCCCUGCCCCCCAAAUACAGUGGCGGUCGCGCCGCAGCCUCCCCUGCGUAGUAGCACACCUCGCACCGGAGAGCGGCUCGGCCACGCCGUGAAACCCCCAAUUUUUCAAGGUUGACCUCGGAUCAGGUAGGAAUACCCGCUGAACUUAAGCAUAUCAAUAAGCGGAGGAAAAGAAACCAACAGGGAUUGCCUCAGUAACGGCGAGUGAAGCGGCAACAGCUCAAAUUUGAAAUCUGGCCGCAAGGUCCGAGUUGUAAUUUGCAGAGGAUGCUUUUGGCGAGGUGCCUUCCGAGUUCCCUGGAACGGGACGCCAUAGAGGGUGAGAGCCCCGUACGGUGGGACCACCGAGCCUCUGUAAAGCUCCUUCGACGAGUCGAGUAGUUUGGGAAUGCUGCUCUAAAUGGGAGGUGUACGUCUUCUAAAGCUAAAUACCGGCCAGAGACCGAUAGCGCACAAGUAGAGUGAUCGAAAGAUGAAAAGCACUUUGGAAAGAGAGUUAAAAAGCACGUGAAAUUGUUGAAAGGGAAGCGCUUGCGACCAGACUUGCCCGCGGGUGGCUUAUCCGAGCUUCUGGCUCGGUGCACUCCCCCGCGGUCAGGCCAGCAUCAGUUCGGGCGGCCGGAUAAAGGCCCCGGGAAUGUAGCUCCUCUCGGGGAGUGUUAUAGCCCAGGGUGCAAUGCGGCCAGCCCGGACUGAGGACCGCGCUCCGGCUAGGAUGCUGGCGUAAUGGUCGUCAGCGACCCGUCUUGAAACACGGACC
rnacentral:rRNA from 1 species